GCGGGAGGAGGGGGCGGGGCCGGGGGGGCGGGGCUGUUCCCUGCCCCUCCCCCACCCUACAUCUCCUACAUCCCCCAGCUGCACGUGCAGGCCCCGCAGAUUUUUCCUUUCCCCGUUUCCGGUUCCGGAAAAUUCCGGGGGGCCAAAGGCUCGCCCCUCCCCCACCACGCCCCCCCCCAGGCCCGAC